rnacentral:lncRNA from 1 species
AGCCAGCAUCUUCAGUGUCUGGACAAAUGUUAGAUUCGCCAGCAAGUGAGAAAUAAAUCGAAGGUCCUUUCCCGGAAGGUAUAAAAGUUCUCUGCUUUCUCCCAAAGACAUUUCUACCUUUGGUUUCGUACCUGUUGCAAGAAAAAUCAGCUCCGACCUCCUCUCUGAAAAGGCGAGGGGGAGGGGAAGCCUUAUUAUUUUCAAGCCUGCACUCUUCACCUGCAACUACCUUUUAAAAGUAAGGCAGGUGGGCUUGGGUAACAUGUACUCGUGGAGUCAGGUACACAGACUGACAGCCUUCCCUGGACAAUCAUUUCGUAUCUGGUGUGAAAGUGACACCAUCCGGGAACCUGGCAGAGCAGGGGUGGCAACUGAAACCAGUUGCUUUCAUAGCGACAUCAACCUUCUAACACACAGGAUCCACGGGCCUCCUCUUUAUGUCCGCAAGUUGACACUUUAGCAACCGGGCAGAUGUUUCACAGGGAGACGUGGCGAUGUUGCAGGGAAAGCAAAAAACAUUCCCCCUACCAGCCAAAUGCACAUUAAGAACCAAGGCCCUGAGCCAAAGAGCCUUUUAGGAAGAGGGCCUGAAAUGGUGGCAGAGGCUUGCAUUGUUUCUUGAGCAGUUAAGAAAAACUGUUUAAAAAAAAGAAAAAAAUGACAGGAAAAGUUGCUGAGGAGGAGGGAAAAAGAGGGCAUACAUGUGUUCCUCAGGAAAAGUUGUCCAAAACAGGCUGCUGAGAAAUCGUUCAGUGUGGAAAGCAAGUAAGUUGAGGACUACACAUCUGUACUUUUUAUAGGCUUACAGGAGUUUAAACUCUUUUGUAAAGAGCUUUUUAUGUACUGAAUCAAGGCCCCCAUAUUUGAACAGGGAUCUAUAUGACUGGGGUUGGGUGGGGGUGGGGGGAUAGGCUGAGGCCUGAAAUCAAGGAUCAAAUUAAGCAACCCCAGUCUUUUCUUCACUCAGCUCAUCUGACUCUGGCCUUUCCACUAGGGAGACUCAAAGAAGACAGAGAGCCUCCUGGAACUGUAACACAGAAACUCAGAGCCUACAGCAGAGGUGUGCAUGGGCAACUGUUCUCAUUCAAAAUCUAG